CUUUGUCUUUAUGGCAAAUGUGAGAUGCAGUGUAUGGAAUGUCAAAUUUCUAGUAUGAGAAAUUAACGAUUUAAGUCCUUCUUAAAUGAGGCCAUUUACCCAUAGAGGGUGCCAGGCCCGUAUAACGUUAAUGAUUACUAGAUGGCAUUUCCAAAGAGUCGUGUUGCUUGAUAGUGCAGCACUAAGUGGGUGGUAAACUCCAUCUAAAACUAAAUAUAACCAUGAGACCGAUAGUAAACAAGUACCGUGAGGGAAAGUUGAAAAGAACUCUGAAUAGAGAGUUAAAUAGUACGUGAAACUGCUUAGAGGUUAAGCCCGAUGAACCUGAAUAUCCAUUAUAGAAAAUUCAUCAUUAUGAUUUUAAUAUUAAUAAUAUUAUAAUAAUGGUGUGCAUUUUUUCUAUAACGGACAUUGUAAUCUAUUAACAUAAAUAUAUUUAUCAUAAGAUCAAUGAUGCGUAAGUUUAUUCAAAUUAUUUUGCUUGCAAUUUAACAUAGAAUAAAUGCUCUUGAUUUGAUAAAGUGUUGAUAGAUUUAUUGUAUAUAGUGCUUAAAUAUUUAUAUUUUAUAAUAGCAUAUUAAUCAUUGAUUUUUAUGUUUAUUAUAUGCACUUAUAUGAUUAACAAUGCGAAAGAUUCAGGAUACCUUCGGGACCCGUCUUGAAACACGGACCAAGGAGUCUAACAUAUUUGCAAGUUAUUGGGUAUCAAAACCUAAUAGCGAAAUUAACAUAACUUUAAUGGGAUUAGUUUUUAGAUUAUUUAUAGUCUAUUAAUUCAAUCCCGGGGCGUUCUAUAUAGUUAUGUAUAAUAAUAUUUAUAUUAUUUAUAC
rnacentral:rRNA from 1 species